AUGGCUGCGCGCGCGUUUGAGCGCUCGCGCGCGGCGACCCGUCUGUCCCCUUCUUUUUUUUUUAAAUGUAACCUGGUUUAUUGGGCUCUCGGCGUAUUCUUGCGUUCCUUCUGCACUGGGACAAGACACCACUGCACUAUUGGACUACGGCAAGCUGGUGCCGUCCGGUGGAGCUUCAUACCGGAACUGCCUUACCUGCUGGGGUCACAACGUUGGAUGAACGCACAAAAAGCGCGGAACGAGCUUUUAUAUAGAGCAAAAUAAAUAUUUCCUCAUUGCACAAAA